CGUCUGUCACGGGGCGUGGUCACAGUGACGUGUUGUUUGUGCAGCGAGGCUGUGAUGAAGGUCGCUCCCGGUGACAGGGUACACCGCCACAGCUGUGACCCUACACACUUCUGGUGCUCCACCUGGCUGCCUGCAGUGCUGUUGGUCUCAGGGCUCGACCUGUCCUGUCUCCCCUGGUCCUCACACUGAUCCAUGGGCCCCGACCCAUGAGGUGGUGCAAACCCAUUUAGCCCAAAUGCAAAGGGUUCUGGCCCACCUGA